AGCGGCAGCGGCGGCGGCUGGGGCUUCCCCGCCGCGCUCCCGCAGCACCGGCACCCCAGAAAAAACUGCUUAGACAAUCUAAUGGAUGAAGAUGAGAAAGACAGGGCAAAGAGGGCUUCGCGUAACAAGUCUGAGAAGAAGAGGCGCGAUCAGUUCAAUGUUCUCAUCAAAGAGCUCAGCUCCAUGCUUCCAGGCAACACUCGCAAAAUGGACAAAACCACUGUGCUGGAAAAAGUCAUCGGCUUUCUGCAGAAACACAAUGAAGUCUCAGCACAGACGGAGAUUUCUGAAAUUCAGCAGGACUGGAAGCCUUCAUUUCUCAGCAAUGAAGAAUUCACCCAGCUGAUGUUGGAGGCAUUAGAUGGCUUCAUCAUAGCAGUAACCACAGGUGGAAGCAUCAUCUAUGUGUCUGACAGCAUCACACCUCUUCUGGGGCAUUUACCGUGUGAUGUCUUGGAUCAGAAUUUGUUAAACUUCCUCCCAGAACAAGAACACUCAGAAAUUUAUAAGAUGUUAUCUUCUUGUAUGCUUAUGACAGAUUCUGCCUCAUCUGAUUACCUAAAAACUGACAAUGAACUAGAGUUUUAUUGUCAUCUUCUGAGAGGAAGUUUGAACCCAAAGGAAUUUCCAACAUAUGAAUACAUAAAAUUUGUAGGAAAUUUUCGGUCUUACAGCAAUGUGCCUAACUCCACUUGCAAUGGCUUUGAUGAGGCUGUCCCAAGGGCUUACAGAGCAUCCCCAGGAAAGCAGAUCUGCUUUGUGGCAACAGUUCGCUUGGCAACACCUCAGUUUUUAAAGGAGAUGUGCAUCGUAGAAGAACCUCUAGAAGAAUUCACAUCAAGACACAGUCUGGAGUGGAAAUUUUUAUUCCUGGAUCACAGAGCGCCGCCGAUCAUCGGAUACCUCCCAUUUGAAGUGCUGGGAACUUCUGGCUACGACUAUUACCACAUAGACGACCUGGAGCUGCUAGCAAGGUGCCAUGAACACUUGAUGCAGUUCGGCAAGGGGAAGUCGUGCUGCUAUCGGUUUCUGACCAAAGGACAGCAGUGGAUCUGGCUCCAGACCCAUUACUACAUCACCUACCACCAGUGGAACUCCAAGCCAGAGUUCAUUGUGUGCACUCACAUGGUGGUAAGUUAUGCAGAUGUUCGUGUGGAGAGGAGACAGGAGAUGGGCUUGGAAGAAGUAUCCUCAGAGGUGGUGUCCUCAGCACUAAAGGAGAGUGGUGCCAGCUUGGAUCCUGAACAGCACUUUAAUGCACUUGAUAUUGGUGCCUCAAUCCUCAGCGCUAGUCGGACACCCUCAGUAUCAUCCAGGAGCUCACCAAAAUCUUCCCACACACCCAAGUCAGACCCAGCAUCUACACCAACAAAGCUGAUUACAGAGUCCAACACUCCCUUGCCGAGAGCACCGAGCGCACAGCAGGAUUUAUCUGUGCACAGACUCAGCCAGCCUACUGCUCUUCAGGUUUCUUUGCCUUCUCAGCUUCCAUGUGAGCUUCUCCCACAGCAGUUGCUGCCUCAAGCAACUCUGCAAAAUCAGCCUGCACCUCUGGCACAGUUCUCAGCACAAUUCAGCAUGUUCCAGACCAUCAAGGACCAGCUGGAGCAGCGGACACGGAUCCUGCAGGCCAACAUCCGCUGGCAGCAGGAGGAGCUCCAGAAGAUCCAGGAGCAGCUCUGCCUGGUCCAAGACUCCAGCGUACAGAUGAUCUUACAGCAGCCAACAGUGUCCCUGAGCUUUAGCAACACUCAGCAGCUGGACCCACAACAGCUACAGCAGAGGUCAGGGACCCUUUCUCAGCAGCAGCUUGUCCCCAGUUCUCAACUUCAAGGGCAAAUCACAUCUUCACAAACGCCGAACCAGCAGUCACUGAGAGAAGCAAGCGUGAUAUCGAGCCAGAUUGUUGCUUAGCCAGCCUAUUCAGCCCAUGAUGCCUGGGUCCUGUAAUGCAAGACACCCUUCAGACCUCAACAUGGCGGGAUCCCAGGCCAAGUAUUCUCAAACCCAACAAAUGUUUCAAAGUUUGGAAGUGCAGACUUCCAGCAGCAGCUCUCCAAUCGUACUGAUGGGACAAGCAGUGUUAAACCAAGGGUUCACCACUACCCCUCCUUCCCAGCCAUCCUCUUUGCCACCUAUGCAACUCCAGCACCAACAGCAUCAGCAGCAACGCUACCUGCAGGUAGGGCAAAGAGGAUGAUGUGUAAAGUGUGCACGCAGAGGAACAAGGUGAGUGGGCUGUGCAAAUGGGGCCCAGGUUUCUGCUGGAGCCUGAUCCUGGCAGAAAUGGCCAUUUAAGAGAUUCUGACGUGUGACACACUGCUACAGUGGCCGGUACUAGUACAGCAAGGGAGCAGUGGGAACAAUCAGAAUAUCUAAAGGAAAUUACUAAUUCUGUACAUUUAAAGCAUAAUCAGAUUAUCUUGGAUAUAUUUAAAGUUUAUUUCCAGCUGGAGAAAAUCAGUGCCUUAGGAUUUGUUCUGUUCUCUUUAUUCAGUAGAAAAUUUGCUUAGUUUACAAGUCAAAAGAUGAUUUUUAAUUACCAGCAUCAACAUAAAAUAGAUCUGGAUCAGAUAUCUGGAUCCCUUCAGGAAACUAACAUAUUUUUUCAACUCCACAAGGCAAAGAAGAUAAAGUGGAGCACGUUGCCUGGAAGAACCAGGUGAUUUGAAUAUGUAAAAAUAUUUAUUUUUGACCUAAUUCAACACAUACUAAAAUAAAGGGAGGAAAUGAGGUGUGUCUGUAUUAGUUCAACAGGAGCUGAACCGAGUCUUUGAAACCUGGUCACAUAUCCACUGGCAUCACCCAAAGAGUAUAACCAACCUCAAAUUAUUAAACUCUUGUUAUUGAAAUGAAAUCCUUAUCAUAGCCUGAGAAUUAAUGAAAAAACUCUGGCAGAUACUGUUUCCAAUAAAGCAUCUGCAAAAUUCACAUCAGCUUCAACACUGCAAGGUCACACCCAACUGUAAGCUCAGGAAAAGGAAGGGCUAGAAGGGACAGCAUGAGGCACAUUAGAAAAUGCUGUUUCAUUUCUGCCACCCAUCCGUGUCAUUUCUGACAUGUUCACCCACACGGUUCCCAAACCGUGAAGGCUGAAGGCUCUUCAGGAUAACCUGCACAUCCCAGGCAGUGCAUUACUGUGAGAAAACCAUUUCAAUGUUCUUUGUUGCAAUUUAUGUCCACUCCUUCUAGCAUUAGUUAAGCUAACCUCAUGCCAAACAGCUCCAGAAAUAGAAGCCAGCAAACCAGUAGUAUUUUCAAGCAUCCUGUAAGCUGAGGACAAAGAGCAUUAAUGCGUGAAAGAAUCAAACCCCACGAUAAAUUUUAUUUUAU